rnacentral:rRNA from 1 species
CGACGUCAGCACGGGAGUCAGACUGCGGGAGAUAAGUUCCGUGGUCGAGAGGGAAAGAGCCCAGACUGCCAGCUAAGGCCCCAAGUGUAUGCUAAGUGGAAAAGGAUGUGGGGACACAUAGACAACCAGGAGGUUGGCUUAGAAGCAGCCAUCCUUAAAAGAAAGCGUAAUAGCUCACUGGUCAAGUGGCUCUGCGCCGAAAAUCCAACGGGGCUCAAGCAUACCGCCGAAGCUGUAGGCUUUUCGAAAGAGAAGCGGUAGGGGAGCGUUCCAGCGCCGCAGAAGGUGUUCCGGAAGGGAAUGCUGGAGGUUCUGGAAGUGAGAAUGCCGACAUGAGUAACGAUAAACCGGGUGAAAAACCCGGUCGCCGUAAAACCUGAGGUUUCCUGCGCAAGGGUAAUCCGAGCAGGGUUAGCCGGUCCUAAGCCGAGGCCGAAAGGCGUAGGUGAUGGAGAACGGGUUAAUAGUCCCGUGCCACCCGUUGGAGUGGAGGGGGGACGGAGAAGGAUAGACCGGCCAG